GAAGAACGGAGCUGCUGUGGACCUUUUGGCUUGCAUUUGAAGACCAUCCCAACCUUUUCUCGCCCUCUAAACUAGCCUGUUGCCCAUGAGUGUGAUGAGGGUACUAUUCAGCCUAUUCAGAAUCUAUACAUGGAAUAGAAGGUGUGGAAAGAAGAAUUAAAAGGCAGAAAAGAAAGAAGAUCCUCUGCCAUCACUGUAAACCUCUUUCUCCUGCGGUUUGGACAGACAAUUAUUUCUGCUGGGAAGAAAGUCAAGAAUGUCAGACAACAGAACUGAAAAGAUCAUUUUCAAUUUACCAGUGGGGAAAAGGAUGGCAGAUUGCAGGUGUGUGUCUUAGGUGCCUUCAAAUCACCAAUCGACUUAUGAUGACCCCAUGAAUAUUAUGGAGUUUUCUUAGCCGAGGAAUACUCAGAGGUGUUUUGCCUAUUCUUUCCUCUGGAAUAUAGCCUACAGCACCUGGCAUUCAUUGGCAGUGCCUCAUCCAGGACUGACUCUGCUUAGAUUCCAAGAUCAGAUGGGAUCUGCUGUCUUCAGGAAAUUUAGGCUGGCAGAUUAUAUACUCUCCAACAUUUAACAGAUGAAAAUCAGGUCACAUCUGACCAAGAAACAUCAGAGAGUGGCCAAGAUUGUGGAAAUCAUCAGUGCGGAAGAACAUGCAUGCCAGGAGAGGCUGCAGCAGUUUGCUUUUGCCUGAGCCUUCUAGGAAAGAGUAUGAUUCUGCACACUCCUCUCCACUACCCUUUGCUGAGUUUACUGAGAACAAACUAUCUCUGCAUUUUGAAGAAACAUUUGCAGCAAUUGAAAUAAGCUGAGAAUGAAUGGGGAAAGUUAUAGGAGGAGAGAUAAAUUGGGUUAUUUUAAAAGCAGCUGAAAAAUUAAGACCACAGAGGAUUAAUCUGGACUGUCCCUGCCAGAUCAGGACAAUUGGAAGGGAUGAAACUGGAGACAUUAUUUUUAGCCCACUAACAUCCCCACUGAGUCCUUGUCAUAAAGUUAGCAAGAAAUAAAAAU